GUAAGAUAUAAACCUUAUACUAAGAAUCUUCAUGUUCAUUUAUUAUUGUUACUAUUUGUGACGGCCCGCAGUUCCUCAACAAGAAGUCACGCUGCCAAACACAACUAAACAAGAAGAUACAAUAUAAAAUUUAAUAAUAAAAGUAAAACAGAAGCUAUUCAUCCCUUAUACAACAUAUAACAUAAUUUACACCAUGAGUUUACCGAAAACUGUUGAGUCCACAACUGGACUAAAAGUCACCAGAUGAAAACUAAACAUGAAAUUCUGAUUUGGCUCUAUAAAUUGUCUUCAUCGACUUUAUCUGAAAAAGAUUAAAAUUCAAAUGGAAUGAUUAAAACAAUAAGCUUAGUAAAUAUAUCGAAUAGACUGCACCCUGAGCAUGCGACAUACCAACAUACAGUCAGUCAGAAAUAUAAAAAUUUCUUCCUCUUUAUGUUUGAAAACUAUGAAAUGCAGAGAUAUUCCAUUUCUUAUCUCAUAUCUCAUUGUUUUCUUAACUUCAACAAGUCUUUUUCCUUUACUAUUCUCCUUUACUAGUUAUCUUUCAAAAUUCCUCAUUUUCAUUAUUUUCUCAUUAUCCCGCUAAUUUCUUUCUUUUCUUAAUUUCCUAAUUGUAACCACUCGUAUCACACACUAUUAUCACAUCACAUUUGGUUCCAAAACGAUACUCAUCCACCAGUUUUCCUCUAAUACAAAUUUAUCCCACAAAUUCACAUACCAAAAUUAUCGUAAAUUUUCGAGGAAUCGAGACAUCUGUAACCCCUCAAUGAGUAACCCCGAUUCUCAAUUUGUCCCAAUACAAUCAUCAUUCUAAAAUUAUUAAAGUUUUAGAAUUUUAUUUGAGAUUACACGAGUGAAUUCGUUAUCCAAUUGGUACCAUUAUGGGAUCAGAAUUUCCACUAUCACAAGGGGAUGUACACACAACCAAAACACACAUAAUGGUCACAGCAGUCCGUCUCCAGGUGACCCAGAACAUAACACAUACUGUAACGGCCCCGGAAAUUUAAAUAAAAUAUAUGUAUUAAAAAUCUCAAGUGCGGAAGCGUAAUAAAAAUUUUGAUUAACAUCCCUUACACAAUAACCAAAACGUACUCAAAAUAUGAAGGAACAAACUAACUAAAAGAGAUACUCGAAAUAAAAACUAUAAAUAUAACUAUGAAAUCUUUAGGCGUCCCCUUCGCCGUCUUCCUGUGGAACGAGCUCAGUAACAACGUCUUCCUGAUCUGAAAUGGUUAAAUAAGGGAUGAGCUACACCAGCCCAGUAAAGACAUCACACUAUCUCACCGCCACGGAAGUAAAGGUGGGUAGAAAACAAAAAUGACCAAUGGAGCAAAAUUUAUAACGAACUCGUUUAUUAACAUAAAAACCUUUACUGUCCACUUACCUCGGUGAGAUAUAUGAAAAUAACAUAUGAAAACAAUAACCUUAUAAUAUCAUAAAAUCAUAUACACUUUAUAACAUAACACAUAUCAUACAUUUACAUUUCAAUCAUCAGAAAAUAGAUUUCCUCGUUUACCAGCCUACUAGUAUCCUUGGAGAUCCAUAGGGGGUUCCCGCUACACGUGAACCAUUAACAUUACAACCUGAUUCCAGGGCCGUCCUCAUACCCCGUCCG
rnacentral:lncRNA from 1 species